AGUGAACGCUGGCGGUAGGCCUAUCACAUGCAAGUCGAACGGCAGCACAGUAAGAGCUUGCUCUUACGGGUGGCGAGUGGCGGACGAGUGAGGAAUACAUCGGAAUCUACUUUUUCGUGGGGGAUAACGUAGGGAAACUUACGCUAAUACCGCAUACGACCUACGGGUGAAAGCAGGGGAUCUUCGGACCUUGCGCGAUUGAAUGAGCCGAUGUCGGAUUAGCUAGUUGGCGGGGUAAAGGCCCACCAAGGCGACGAUCCGUAGCUGGUCUGAGAGGAUGAUCAGCCACACUGGAACUGAGACACGGUCCAGACUCCUACGGGAGGCAGCAGUGGGGAAUAUUGGACAAUGGGCGCAAGCCUGAUCCAGCCAUACCGCGUGGGUGAAGAAGGCCUUCGGGUUGUAAAGCCCUUUUGUUGGGAAAGAAAAGCAGCAGGUUAAUACCCCGCUGUUCUGACGGUACCCAAAGAAUAAGCACCGGCUAACUUCGUG
rnacentral:rRNA from 1 species